GCCCCCGUAUCCCAAUCGGCAGAGGAGAGCCUCUUAAAAAGGCUUCAGUGUGGGUUCGAGACCCACCGGGGGCA
rnacentral:tRNA from 1 species